CACCGGCGGCCCGAGUGGUGAUCGUGAUUAUUGGGUCUAAAGGGUCCGUAGCCGGUUUGGUCAGUCCUCCGGGAAAUCUGAUGGCUCAACCAUUAGGCUUUCGGGGGAUACUGCCAGGCUUGGAACCGGGAGAGGUAAGAGGUACUACAGGGGUAGGAGUGAAAUCUUGUAAUCCCUGUGAGACCACCUGUGGCGAAGGCGUCUUACCAGAACGGGUUCGACGGUGAGGGACGAAAGCUGGGGGCACGAACCGGAUUAGAUACCCGGGUAGUCCCAGCCGUAAACGAUGCUCGCUAGGUGUCAGGCAUGGCGCGACCGUGUCUGGUGCCGCAGGGAAGCCGUGAAGCGAGCCACCUGGGAAGUACGGCCGCAAGGCUGAAACUUAAAGGAAUUGGCGGGGGAGCACAACAACGGGUGGAGCCUGCGGUUUAAUUGGACUCAACGCCGGACAACUCACCGGGGACGACAGCAAUAUGUAGGCCAGGCUGAAGACCUUGCCUGAAUCGCU
rnacentral:rRNA from 1 species